CAUGAAUAUUUACUGAGGUAUUGUUAAUAAAUUAUUCAUGAACAAGUGAGCUUAUAAGUUUAUCCAAAGCUCGACUUGUUUUAUGUGUGAUUUCAGUCUCUCAGAGAGCUUGGGGUCAACUCGUGUGAUGAAUAAAUAGGCUGAACUUAAGCCCUUGCUCUUUUGACGAACAAAACUCACUUACAACUCUAUACAUUCAUGCAAGACGUUGUUUCCAUUUGAGACAUUGCGCUAAUGACUGGUGGUUAUGGUGACACUUGCAUUUUUGCUCUUAAGUUUUGUACUCUUCUCUGGCCUCUUAGGAAUAUACAGUUUUUUGGCCUUGAAGCCCAACAGAAAGUGACUGCAUCAUAUGUUGUGGUAAUUGGUCUUGGAGGAGUUGGAAGU
rnacentral:misc_RNA from 1 species